rnacentral:rRNA from 1 species
GACGAACGCUGGCGGCGUGCUUAACACAUGCAAGUCGAACGGAAAGGCCCUGCUUUUGUGGGGUGCUCGAGUGGCGAACGGGUGAGUAACACGUGAGUAACCUGCCCUUGACUUUGGGAUAACUUCAGGAAACUGGGGCUAAUACCGGAUAGGAGCUCCUGCUGCAUGGUGGGGGUUGGAAAGUUUCGGCGGUUGGGGAUGGACUCGCGGCUUAUCAGCUUGUUGGUGGGGUAGUGGCUUACCAAGGCUUUGACGGGUAGCCGGCCUGAGAGGGUGACCGGCCACAUUGGGACUGAGAUACGGCCCAGACUCCUACGGGAGGCAGCAGUGGGGAAUAUUGCACAAUGGGCGGAAGCCUGAUGCAGCAACGCCGCGUGCGGGAUGACGGCCUUCGGGUUGUAAACCGCUUUCGCCUGUGACGAAGCGUGAGUGACGGUAAUGGGUAAAGAAGCACCGGCUAACUACGUGCCAGCAGCCGCGGUGAUACGUAGGGUGCGAGCGUUGUCCGGAUUUAUUGGGCGUAAAGGGCUCGUAGGUGGUUGAUCGCGUCGGAAGUGUAAUCUUGGGGCUUAACCCUGAGCGUGCUUUCGAUACGGGUUGACUUGAGGAAGGUAGGGGAGAAUGGAAUUCCUGGUGGAGCAGUGGAAUGCGCAGAUAUCAGGAGGAACACCAGUGGCGAAGGCGGUUCUCUGGGCCUUUCCUGACGCUGAGGAGCGAAAGCGUGGGGAGCGAACAGGCUUAGAUACCCUGGUAGUCCACGCUGUAAACGGUGGGUACUAGGUGUGGGGUCCAUUCCACGGGUUCCGUGCCGUAGCUAACGCUUUAAGUACCCCGCCUGGGGAGUACGGCCGCAAGGCUAAAACUCAAAGGAAUUGACGGGGCCCCGCACAAGCGGCGGAGCAUGCGGAUUAAUUCGAUGCAACGCGUAGAACCUUACCUGGGUUUGACAUGGAUCGGGAGUGCCCAGAGAUGGGUGUGCCUCUUUUGGGGUCGGUUCACAGGUGGUGCAUGGCUGUCGUCAGCUCGUGUCGUGAGAUGUUGGGUUAAGUCCCGCAACGAGCGCAACCCUUGUUCACUGUUGCCAGCACGUUAUGGUGGGGACUCAGUGGAGACCGCCGGGGUCAACUCGGAGGAAGGUGGGGAUGACGUCAAGUCAUCAUGCCCCUUAUGUCCAGGGCUUCACGCAUGCUACAAUGGCUGGUACAGAGAGUGGCGAGCCUGUGAGGGUGAGCGAAUCUCGGAAAGCCGGUCUCAGUUCGGAUUGGGGUCUGCAACUCGACCUCAUGAAGUCGGAGUCGCUAGUAAUCGCAGAUCAGCAACGCUGCGGUGAAUACGUUCCCGGG